CUCCUUGCAUCAAACAGCACAGCCUCUCGCCGCCCGUCUGGAAAAUUGAUUAAUUGCUGGUGUUGCAAAAUGACAUGUGCAGGGGGAUGCACAUGUCAUAUGCACAAUGCUUUCCCCUUGAAAAAAAAAGGUAUCCCGACUGUUCCCUCUGUCUUCCUUCAGCUUCAGAAAUUAACAACGGAGAAAACAAAAAGACAAAUGAAGUCACUCAUGAUCUAUUGACUCUCCUUAAAAGAUGACAACAAUGCAUCAAAUCUUUCGUUCUGGUGGUGGAACCCAGGCCCUCAGAACAUCUUGGACAAGAGGUCUGUUGGUAGUCCACGUUGUCUCCUUGUCCAAUGCCAGCUGGACUCUGGCUUCAUGAGGUGGGCCAGACUGCCUGUAAGAUGGAGAUGAACAAGCAAAACAUUGGCAUACAUCCAUCACAUUUCAUCUAUACUUCAAAGUUUUGGUUUGAAUGUUUUUCCCUUCUUUAUACCCCACAAUCUUCCUAGAUGUGAUUUGUUUUUUGAGUAAAUGUAAUAAAGACAAAAA